GAGUUUGAUCUUGGCUCAGAGCGAACGCUGGCGGCAGGCCUAACACAUGCAAGUCGAACGGACCCUUCGGGGUCAGUGGCGGACGGGUGAGUAACACGUGGGAACGUGCCCUUUGGUUCGGAACAACUCAGGGAAACUUGAGCUAAUACCGAAUGUGCCCUUCGGGGGAAAGAUUUAUCGCCAUUGGAGCGGCCCGCGUCUGAUUAGCUAGUUGGUGGGGUAAUGGCCUACCAAGGCGACGAUCAGUAGCUGGUCUGAGAGGAUGAUCAGCCACAUUGGGACUGAGACACGGCCCAAACUCCUACGGGAGGCAGCAGUGGGGAAUCUUGCGCAAUGGGCGAAAGCCUGACGCAGCCAUGCCGCGUGAAUGAUGAAGGUCUUAGGAUUGUAAAAUUCUUUCACCGGGGACGAUAAUGACGGUACCCGGAGAAGAAGCCCCGGCUAACCUCGUGCCAGCCGCCGCCGU
rnacentral:rRNA from 1 species